rnacentral:rRNA from 1 species
AGCGUCGUAUAUAAGUUUAUUAGAGGUAGAGCUACUGAUUGGAUGCGGGGGUUUCAUCGCCUACCAAUUCCUGACAAACUCCGAAUGCUAAUAAAUGUUCUACGGCAGUGAGGGCAUGGGUGCUAAGGUCCAUGUCCGAGAGGGAAAGAACCCAGACCAACAGCUAAGGUCCCAAAAUAUAUGUUAAGUUGAAACAACGCGGUUGGACUGCAUUGACAGCUAGGAUGUUGGCUUGGAAGCAGCCAUUCAUUUAAAGAGUGCGUAACAGCUCACUAGUCGAGCGGUCCGGCAUGGAUAAUAAUCGGGCAUAAACAUAUUACCGAAGCUAUGGAUUUAUAUUUUAGAUAUAUCUGGUAGGAGAGCAUUCUAUUUGCGCCGAAGCAGUACUGUGAGGUAUUGUGGAGCGGAUAGAAAAGAAAAUGUAGGCAUAAGUAACGAUAAAGCAGGCGAGAAACCUGCUCACCGAAAGACCAAGGCUUCCUCAGCCAUGCUAAUCAGCUGAGGGUUAGUCGGGACCUAACGCGAACCCGAAAGGGGUAGUGGAUGGACAAUGGGUUAAUAUUCCCAUACUUGCUCACAAUAAAAGGGGACGGUUGGAUGUAGCUGCUGGAGACUGACGGAAUAGUCAAGGCCUAGCCUUCGGGCGAAGCUGCUGUAGUGUAAUCUGAUCCAAGAAAAGCCGAAGUGAAGCAACCCGUACCAAAACCGACACAGGUGGUCGAGGAGAGAAUCCUAAGGUGCUCGAGUGAGUCGUGGCUAAGGAACUAGGCAAAAUAGUCUCGUAACUUCGGAAGAAGAGACGCCAACAGCAAUGUUGGCCGCAGUGAAGAGGCCCAGGCGACUGUUUAUCAAAAACACAGGACUCUGCUAAAUCGAAAGAUGCUGUAUAGGGUCUGACACCUGCCCGGUGCUGGAAGGUUAAGGAAGGUGCUUAGAGUUAAAUCGAAGGCAUUAACUGAAGCCCCAGUAAACGGCGGCCGUAACUAUAACGGUCCUAAGGUAGCGAAAUUCCUUGUCGGGUAAGUUCCGACCUGCACGAAUGGUGUAACGAUCUGGGCACUGUCUCAGCCACGAGCUCGGUGAAAUUGUAGUAUCGGUGAAGAUGCCGAUUACCCGCAAUGGGACGAAAAGACCCUGUGAACCUUUACUAUAACUUCGUAUUGACUUUGAGUAAGUAAUGUGUAGGAUAGGUGGGAGGCUUUGAAGCAGGCACGCUAGUGUUUGUGGAGCCAACGUUGAAAUACCACCCUUUACUUACUUGGAGCCUAACUUCUUU